UACCAGCACCCCGAGUGGUCGGGACGAUUAUUGGGCCUAAAGCAUCCGUAGCCGGUUCUGCAAGUCCUCCGUUAAAUCCACCUGCUUAACAGAUGGGCUGCGGAAGAUACUAUAGAGCUAGGAGGCGGGAGAGGCAAGCGGUACUCGAUGGGUAGGGGUAAAAUCCGUUGAUCCAUUGAAGACCACCAGUGGCGAAGGCGGCUUGCCAGAACGCGCUCGACGGUGAGGGAUGAAAGCUGGGGGAGCAAACCGG
rnacentral:rRNA from 1 species